CUUUGUACUAAUUACAUGCCCUCAUCUCAUUUGCAUUUAAAAAGCACCAGGGUUUGUUUAUAUUACAGUGUUCACAUAUGUAGGACUUUUGUUGGGGGGAAGGUCUGUUAAAGCAGGGUUCCCCAAUUGUCGGGCUGCAGCCCAGAAGCAGCCUGUGGACACUGAACCCAGUGCGUCGAAUUGGAUGCCGACGAGCCCCGAAUUGGACGCUAGCGCAUCCAACUAUGUUGCUGACCCCCACAACCUGACCCCGCUGACCCCAAUCCCACCCCACCCCCUGGUCCUCGAAAAAAAAAUUUGCAUCCGGCCCCGGUCCAAAAAAGUUCAGGGACCCCUGUGUUAAAGGACAAGUAACAUCAAAAUUUUUAAAAAAAAAUUUAAAGGGCGACGAUCAAUCGUUUGGCGCUGGAUUUCUCCUCCCUGGCUCUAUCCCAUAUAUCGUGACAGUGUGUGAAGGAGCUGUGGUCAUUGGUAAGAAGCACGUAGCACUGGCACAGUGGAAAUGUGACUCCAGCGACUCCGGAGAUCGUUC